CAGCAACAAAUAACUGUUUUCUUUUUACCACAUCUAUGCCAGCAUUUUUUUUUUUUAUCUUAGCCAUUCUGACUGGGGAUAUUUGUGCACUGUGUGAAGAUGUAUGUCACUGUGAUGGGUUUGAUAAAGAACUGAAUGACCAAUAGCUAGGCAGGAAAGAUAGGUGGGAUUUCCAGGGAGAGAGAGGAAGAGGAGGAGGAAUCUAGGCAUGUGGAUUACACCAGGGAGAUACCAGGAGACUCUGGAGAAGUUGGACACAUGGACCAGAGCAGAGAAAACAAAAGGUUAUGGUUCUCUUCAAAAUUAAUGAAGAUCAGAUUUGAUUGCGAGAGACCUCCUGAAAAUCUUGGCUACAGACAUAAAAAAGGAAACCAAGAAAGACCACAGGACAGAGAAUAUGAUGCCUGCUCCACAAAGUCGUGAAGAUGUGGGAGGAAAUUCGAGUGUGCGGCGUUUCUUGAGGUGAAACACCAGCAAGCAGUCGGAACUCAGACCUCCUCACCCGGAAGCCCCGCCAAUUUCAUCCUGUUAUUCAUCCUACUGUUUGAUGGCC